UACGAAGGUGGCAAGCGUUGUUCGGAUUUACUGGGCGUAAAGGGAGCGUAGGUGGUGGGGUAAGCCCCGCGGGAAAGCUCCAGGCUUAACCUGGAAAGGUCGCGGGGGACUGCUCCGCUCGAGGACGGGAGAGGAGCGCGGAAUUCCCGGUGUAGCGGUGAAAUGCGCAGAUAUCAGGAAGAACACCCGUGGCGAAGGCGACUCGCUGGACAAGUAUUGACGCUGAGGUGCGAAAGCGUGGGGAGAAACAGG
rnacentral:rRNA from 1 species